rnacentral:rRNA from 1 species
GACGAACGCUGGCGGCAUGCCUUACACAUGCAAGUCGAACGGCAGCACGGGUGCUUGCACCUGGUGGCGAGUGGCGAACGGGUGAGUAAUAUAUCGGAACGUACCUUAUUGUGGGGGAUAACGCAGCGAAAGCCGUGCUAAUACCGCAUAAUCCCUAAGGGGGAAAGCGGGGGACCGUAAGGCCUCGCGCAAUUAGAGCGGCCGAUACCUGAUUAGCUAGUUGGCGAGGUAAAGGCUCACCAAGGCAACGAUCAGUAGCUGGUCUGAGAGGACGAUCAGCCACACUGGGACUGAGACACGGCCCAGACUCCUACGGGAGGCAGCAGUGGGGAAUUUUGGACAAUGGGGGCAACCCUGAUCCAGCAAUGCCGCGUGAGUGAAGAAGGCCUUCGGGUUGUAAAGCUCUUUUGUCAGGGAAGAAACAGCAGCUCUAACACAGUAUGCGAAUGACGGUACCUGAAGAAUAAGCACCGGCUAACUACGUGCCAGCCGCCGCCGUAA